rnacentral:rRNA from 1 species
GAUGAACGCUAGCUACAGGCUUAACACAUGCCAGUCGAGGGGCAGCAUGGUCUUAGCUUGCUAAGGCCGAUGGCGACCGGCGCACGGGUGAGUAACACGUAUCCAACCUGCCGUCUACUCUUGGACAGCCUUCUGAAAGGAAGAUUAAUACAAGAUGGCAUCAUGAGUCCGCAUGUUCACAUGAUUAAAGGUAUUCCGGUAGACGAUGGGGAUGCGUUCCAUUAGAUAGUAGGCGGGGUAACGGCCCACCUAGUCUUCGAUGGAUAGGGGUUCUGAGAGGAAGGUCCCCCACAUUGGAACUGAGACACGGUCCAAACUCCUACGGGAGGCAGCAGUGAGGAAUAUUGGUCAAUGGGCGAGAGCCUGAACCAGCCAAGUAGCGUGAAGGACGACUGCCCUAUGGGUUGUAAACUUCUUUUAUAAAGGAAUAAAGUCGGGUAUGGAUACCCGUUUGCAUGUACUUUAUGAAUAAGGAUCGGCUAACUCCGUG